rnacentral:rRNA from 1 species
UACGUAGGUGGCAAGCGUUGUCCGGAUUUACUGGGCGUAAAGAGCGCGCAGGCGGUCGUUCAAGUCGCGUGUGAAAGCCCCCGGCUCAACUGGGGAGGGUCACGCGAUACUGAUCGACUCGAAGGCAGGAGAGGGAAGUGGAAUUCCCGGUGUAGUGGUGAAAUGCGUAGAUAUCGGGAGGAACACCAGUGGCGAAGGCGGCGACCUGGGCAGAUACUGACGCUGAGGUGCGAAAGCGUGGGGAGCAAACAGG